rnacentral:lncRNA from 1 species
ACCAAUCACUCCCUGCAGGAAUCUCACCCAUUGGAAGAACUAUCAAAAAUCCAAAGAAACUCAAAGAGAAAAUGACAAGAAAUAUUUUCGCACGAAAGCAACUCUCUAACGGAGCUCUCCCAUCAGAAGAAAUAAAAUAAGGGAUAGAUACUUGGCUGAGAGUGAUCCUAUAUAUAUAGGAUCCCUCAACAACUGAGAUGAAGACUGUCAAAUCAAAGAUCUAUCGAUGACGAUACAUGAUAACAUCUGGACUGAUCAUUAAUUGGAUAGUUCAACGCACCUACCUAAGAUUGAGCCACAUCACCUCUAUCCACAUGAAUAAUUCUGACCCAAUAACUUUCGAACAUGUGGAACAAAUCUACUUGUUAGAAUCAUAUCAUCAGACAUCGAAUCGACUUCCCGAAAAGACAUCUGAUACUGACAACUGAUACC